AUGGAUUGGAACCCCCAGGUGCUGUGUUGGAACAUGAGGGGUCUCGACAACCCCGCCAAGAGAAAUGUUGUCCGGUAGUUUGUAGUCGAGGCUAAGGUGAAUCUUGUGUGUCUCCAAGAGACGAAGAUUGAUGUUUUUAACCCAUACUUGGUGAUGCAAUGUAUUGGACCAUCGUUUGAUGGUUUUGCCUAUUUACCCGCGUUGGACACUAGGGGUGGAAUCUUAUUACGAUGGAACAACAUGUACUUAGCGAUCAAUAACAUCACGCACGACACCAAUUUCCUCUCUGGUUUGGUCCAUAGCAAGGAUGGCUCGGAGUGGUGGCUUUCGGUCGUGUAUGGCCCCAAGGGGACGAGCUCAAGACUCAGUUUCUUGUGGAGUUGCAGCAUCGCAGAGAUGCGUCCCUGGGGCCAUGGAUGGUUUUAG
rnacentral:rRNA from 1 species